rnacentral:rRNA from 1 species
GAUGAACGCUGGCGGCGUGCCUAACACAUGCAAGUCGAGCGAUUUACUUCGGUAAAGAGCGGCGGACGGGUGAGUAACGCGUGGGUAACCUGCCCUGUACACACGGAUAACAUACUGAAAGGUAUGCUAAUACGGGAUAACAUAAGAGAGUCGCAUGGCUUUCUUAUCAAAGCUUUUGCGGUACAGGAUGGACCCGCGUCUGAUUAGCUAGUUGGUAAGGUAACGGCUUACCAAGGCGACGAUCAGUAGCCGACCUGAGAGGGUGAUCGGCCACAUUGGAACUGAGACACGGUCCAAACUCCUACGGGAGGCAGCAGUGGGGAAUAUUGCACAAUGGGCGAAAGCCUGAUGCAGCAACGCCGCGUGAGCGAUGAAGGCCUUCGGGUCGUAAAGCUCUGUCCUCAAGGAAGAUAAUGACGGUACUUGAGGAGGAAGCCCCGGCUAACUACGUGCCAGCCGCCGCCGUAAAAC